rnacentral:rRNA from 1 species
GAUGAACGCUUUCUUCUUUCCUAAUACAUGCAAGUCGAGCGAACAGACGAGGAGCUUGCUCCUCUGACGUUAGCGGCGGACGGGUGAGUAACACGUGGAUAACCUACCUAUAAGACUGGGAUAACUUCGGGAAACCGGAGCUAAUACCGGAUAAUAUAUUGAACCGCAUGGUUCAAUAGUGAAAGACGGUUUUGCUGUCACUUAUAGAUGGAUCCGCGCCGCAUUAGCUAGUUGGUAAGGUAACGGCUUACCACUGCAACGAUGCGUAGCCGACCUGAGAGGGUUAACGGCCACACCGGAACUGAGGCACGGUCCAGACUCCUACGGGAGGCAGCAGUAGGGAAUCUUCCGCAAUUGGCGAAAGCCUGACGGAGCAACGCCGCGUGAGUGAUGAAGGUCUUCGGAUCGUAAAACUCUGUUAUUAGGGAAGAACAAAUGUGUAAGUAACUAUGCACGUCUUGACGGUACCUAAUCAGAAAGCCACGGCUAACUACGUG